UACGAAGGAUGCAAGCGUUAUCCGGAUUUAUUGGGUUAAAGGGUGCGUAGGCGGACUUAUAAGUCAGUGGUGAAAUCUCGUUGCUUAACAACGAACGUGCCAUUGAUACUGUAGGUCUUGAGUACAGGAUGCCGUUGGCGGAAUGUGUCAUGUAGCGGUGAAAUGCAUAGAUAUGACACAGAACACCGAUGCGAAGGCAGCUGACGAAACUGUCAACUGACGCUGAGGCACGAAAGCGUGGGGAUCAAACGG
rnacentral:rRNA from 1 species